GAUGAACGCUGGCGGCGUGCCUAAUACAUGCAAGUCGAGCGAACAGACGAGGAGCUUGCUCCUCUGACGUUAGCGGCGGACGGGUGAGUAACACGUGGAUAACCUACCUAUAAGACUGGGAUAACUUCGGGAAACCGGAGCUAAUACCGGAUAAUAUAUUGAACCGCAUGGUUCAAUAGUGAAAGACGGUUUUGCUGUCACUUAUAGAUGGAUCCGCGCCGCAUUAGCUAGUUGGUAAGGUAACGGCUUACCAAGGCGACGAUGCGUAGCCGACCUGAGAGGGGGGUGGGAAACACGGGAACUGAGACACGGCCCAAAACCCUAGGGGGGGCAGCAGGAGGGAAUCUUCCGAAAGGGGCGAAACCCUAACGGAGCAACGCCGGGUGAGUGAUAAAGGUUUUCGGAUCGUAAAACUUUUUUAUUAGGGAAAAAAAAAUGUGUAAGUAACAUUGCCCGUCUUGACGGUACCUAAGCAGAAAGCCCCGGCUAACUACGG
rnacentral:rRNA from 1 species